rnacentral:rRNA from 1 species
UGAGGAAUCUUGCACAAUGGGGGCAACCCUGAUGCAGCGACGCCGCGUGAGCGAUGAAGCCCUUCGGGGCGUAAAGCUCUUUCGACCGGAACGAUAAUGACGGUAACGGGAGAAGAAGCUGCGGCUAACUACGUGCCAGCAGCCGCGGUAAUACGUAGGCAGCAAGCGUUGUUCGGAGUUACUGGGCGUAAAGAGUGCGUAGGCGGUUUUCUAAGUUCGGUGUGAAAUCUCCGGGCUUAACUGGGAGGGUGCGCCGAAGACUGGGAAGCUGGAGUGUGGGAAAGGCAGGCGGAAUUCCUGGUGUAGCGGUGAAAUGCGUAGAUAUCAGGAGGAACACCGGCGGUGUAGACGGCUUGCUAGACCAUAACUGACGCUGAGGCACGAAAGCGUGGGUAGCAAACA